UAACGCGAAGAACCUUACCAGGUCUUGACAUACUAUGCAAAUCUAAGAGAUUAGACGUUCCCUUCGGGGACAUGGAUACAGGUGGUGCAUGGUUGUCGUCAGCUCGUGUCGUGAGAUGUUGGGUUAAGUCCCACAACGAGCGCAACCCUUAUUAUCAGUUGCCAGCAUUAAGUUGGGCACUCUGGUGAGACUGCCGGUGACAAACCGGAGGAAGGUGGGGAUGACGUCAAAUCAUCAUGCCCCUUAUGACCUGGGCUACACACGUGCUACAAUGGAUGGUACAACGAGUUGCGAACUCGCGAGAGUAAGCUAAUCUCUUAAAGCCAUUCUCAGUUCGGAUUGUAGGCUGCAACUCGCCUACAUGAAGUCGGAAUCGCUAGUAAUCGCGGAUCAGC
rnacentral:rRNA from 1 species